GAUGAACGCUGGCGGCGUGCUUAACACAUGCAAGUCGAACGGAAAGGCCCAAGCUUGCUUGGGUACUCGAGUGGCGAACGGGUGAGUAACACGUGGGUGAUCUGCCCUGCACUUCGGGAUAAGCCUGGGAAACUGGGUCUAAUACCGGAUAGGACCACUUCUUGGAUGUUGUGGUGGAAAGUUUUUUCGGUGUGGGAUGAGCUCGCGGCCUAUCAGCUUGUUGGUGGGGUAAUGGCCUACCAAGGCGUCGACGGGUAGCCGGCCUGAGAGGGUGUACGGCCACAUUGGGACUGAGAUACGGCCCAGACUCCGACGGGAGGCAGCAGUGGGGAAGAUUGCAAAAUGGGCGCGAGCCUGAUGCAGCGACGCCGCGUGGGGGAUGACGGCCUUCGGGUUGUAAACUCCUUUCGCUAGGGACGAAGCGUAUUGUGACGGUACCUGGAGAAGAAGCACCGGCUAACUACGUG
rnacentral:rRNA from 1 species